GGUCUACUUGUAGAGAAAGCUGCGCUUUACAAGGCAUUCCAACUUCUGUGGCAUGUAGUGGUGGUCGCAUUGUAUUUACGGUCUGACAUGGUUGUUCAGUUCUGCAGCGCGAGAAUGCAUUUGGCGAUUAUUUAACUAAAUCGGAAGAUGUAGGCGAACAUGUCCUGCAUGUGGAAGCUGAGUUUAAGAUCUCCACCUGAACCGAAAAAAGCCGAUAGUGGAAGUGUGCUCGACAAUCUGAGGUGUGUUGGCCAUUCUGCUUUCCAGCCGCGGGGAGACGCAAAAGAUGACCCGUCCGGUGAAGGCAACAAACAGCAAAGGGCAGGGGGACAGGUGGCUGUCAAGGGCAAUCUGAAGAGGCCCAUCUUGACCUUCAACUUCAGAACAUUAACUAGAAUCAACGGCGCCUUCAAGCCGUCCGUUGACAAAAGGUCAGCAUUACAAACAAGACAAGCAACGUCACACAGCUGCAACCCUGGUCAUCUUCAGGCAUCUGCACCACAAUGGGGUUUAUAUGUGAGACCACUGUUUUUUC